rnacentral:lncRNA from 1 species
GCUCCAUGCUCUGCCUCCCUGGCUGCCCUUCAUUCACUCCCCUGAGCUCUAGCCUCCCGAAAGCCUUUGCACCACCAUUCCUUGCACCCAGAACGCUCUUCCUUCUCCUCUCUGCCAGCAGCCCCUCCUUAUCUCCUACUUCAGAUCCCCUUUCAGGGGUCCUCCUGGGUUCCAUCUAGGAGCCAUCCCUGCCCCCACCCCUUCCCAUUCCCCACAGCGUUUCUGGGAUCUGCAUGGCUCAAUAACCAAGCCACGCCAUUGGUUAAGGAAGGCAUGGUGGCUGAGCACCUAUGGUGCGCCAGGCCCUGUGUGAUCCAGGCUCUUCCCAUCCACUCUCAUUGAAUCCCACAACCACUCCGAAAGGAAAGGUACUUCUAAGCUCAUCCUACAGGUGAGGCCCCUGAGACUCAGAGACGUGAAGUGUCCUGCCAAAGGUGACACAGCUGGAGGGUGGCAGAGCUGGGAUUCACAUCUGGGUCCAUCUGGGGCUCGGAGGCUUACAGCCCUGAUGUUGAUCUUCCAAAGGCUGAUCUCUCCAUACGAAUCAUCAAACAGCCGUCGGACGCUAAAUCUGGGUUUCUGACAGGGUUACAUGUUUCAGAAUAAAGGCAAGAUGCAGAAUGAUGCCUGCAGUUGCCCCCACCCAACCCCUGCAAAGCCAACUUUGCAGAGCUGGGGAAACUGAGGCACGGUUCCCAGGGGAGUGGGAUUGCAUGGGAAUAGUGAGCAGGUUGCUUGUAUUUUUACUGCAUACAGCUCCUUUCAUACUCCCUUGUGGUUGACAAGUGUGUUCGUGAAUCCUCAGUCCCCUGUCCCCUUCUGACGGGGGUCCUGUCCGCAAUAGGUGGCAACUGGUCAAAGCAUCUGAACCCACGUGAGGGUGAUGAUGGCCCCGGGCUUGCUGUGUCUUACAUGGUGCACACGGAGCCUACUGACCCUUCCUCUAUUUGUUAAAAAGAGGAGAUUCCUCCCCGUUUCAGAGUUUCAGGCACUGGUGUAGGCUCAUGGGAUGUUUUUUUGUUUUUUGUUUGUUUGUUUGUUUGUUNNNNNNNNNNNNNNNNNNNNNNNNNNNNNNNNNNNNNNNNNNNNNNNNNNNNNNNNNNNNNNNNNNCACCUCCCAGGUUCAAGUGAUUCUCCUGCCUCAGCCUCCCAAGUAGCUGGGAUUACAGGCGCCCACCACCAGGCCUGGCUAAUUUUUUUUUGUAUUUUUAGUAGAGACGGGGGUUUCACCAUGUUGGCCAGGUUGGUCUCGAUCUCCUGACCUCUGGUGAUCCACCCGCCUUGGCCUCCCAAAGUGCUGGGAUUAUAGAUGUGAGCCACCAUGCCUGGCCGGGAGAUGAAUUUUUAAAUACUACUAAUAAUACACACAAAUAAUAAAAUUACCACCACCACCACCACCACCACCACCACACACCCCGUUUCCUUCUCACUUAUCUCUGUGCUUCUCACAACCUCACAAGGUGUGACAUGAACCCCCACCCCAAGCCCACAGGCUGGUGCUGCCCUUGCGCCCAGGCUGGUGAAUGUGCCCAUCUCCCCGGCUCCUCCCCACUUCCUCUUUGUCCUUCCUCUUUCCCAUCGUAUUUUUAGAAAUCUUUGAGCUUGCAGCCCUGCUUCCAGGACAGCUGGCCUCACUUCCCCUUUCCAGGGCAGGAGGAAGAUGCCAUCUCAGGGCCCUAAAUAAAGAGGCCCCUCAAAGUCUCAGUAGGAGGGACCCUGGGGCAGAGGGGGUGUGGGUGGAGCUGCUCCCCGCCCCAGCCCCACAAGCCCCACAGGCUCUGCGGAGUGCGGCUUCCUCCCCACCAGCCGAGCUGGCUCUAUUUUUAACUGCGCUGCCUGUCUUCUCUGCACCAGCGCAGUGCUUGUCUUUGGUCACACUGGGGCUUUGCUGUCUGGCCCUCUCACCUUCCCGGCAGGCCCUGGGGGAGGGCGCCUUACCUGCUUCCUGACACAGGCCCACCUCAGGAGAGGAGGGGAGGCAACCCUGGGGGCCCCUGAGUCACCAGCCUGUCCAUAAUAAAGGUGAGAAAACUGAGGCCCAUAGAAGGAAGAGACCAUGACCACUGGCAGGGUGGUGCAGAGCUGGAACCUGAGCGAGGUCCGGCUAACUCCCAAUCCCCGCUUCCCCAGGCCAGGCCAGGAUGAUGGCACCCACGUAGAGAUGACAAAUCGGAACUCAGAGAGGGGAAGUCACCGUGCUAUGAAGAAGCCCCAAUUAAGACCCAGUCUGGGCAACAGGGAAAUGACCUUUCCUCCCUCCCUCUGGCCUCCUCCUCAAGGAGGUCUUCCCAGAUCUCCUCUGCCCCAGUGGGAAAAGUUGCUUCCUCCCGUCUGUAGGUCUGUGUCCAUUUGCACAGCUGGGUCAGGGGCUCUCUCCCGCAGGUUCUCGUCCCUGCUCUGCUGCUGACUGGCCGUGUGACCUCAAGCAAGUCAGUCCCCGUCUCUAGUUCACCUCUGGGAGCCUCAGUUUCCUUAUCUGCAACAUGGAGACAGCCAUCCCUGUAACCUCAGUAUGUUAGGACCCGAAAGGACAAAGCGCCCUGCUGGACACACAGGCAGGGGGGUUGCAUCUCGGUGGGUGCCCUCCCCGCCUCAUCCCACCCUCAUGUCUGCUGAGAGGCCUGAGCCAGGUGCUGCCCCUCGCUGGGUCUCCCUGUGCCGACCAGGUGCCGCCAAGCUGUGCUCACUGAGCUGUGAUUUUGGGAGCCCCCAAAGCCCAUGGGAGAGGCAGGGGUCAGAGAGUGAGCCCUGGACAGGGAUUCAGAGAACAGGAUUUGGUCCUGCUCCUGCCUUAGAGAGGCUGUUUUCCUCCCUUGGCCUCUUUUCUCCCUUCUGCCACUGGGGGCGCUGUUGAAAUGGAUCAGUGGUUCUCUGGGUUCCCUGGGGCCCGAGGCUUCCAUCUGGGGGUGGGGAGGAAGGGGGAUGCCCAGUGGGCGGGGCCAGGCUGCUCCACAUUAGGUGCGUUUGAAGCAAGGGUGCUCCUGGACAAGGUUGAGGUCAUCUGGACCUGGGGAGCAGACGGCUCCCACCAGCCCUUAGGUUCUGGAAUUCCAGCAGCCGUGUUCACCAGAACUGUUGCAGCUCUGGAGCAUGCUGACAUCCAGGGUGCAGAAACUUGGCCCCUCUUCCGGGCCUUCAAUUUGCCUCCCAAAACACGACCCUUAUGUUCUUUUCCUCACCAUCUUUGCAGCCUCCUUUCUCCUCUUUCUCCCCAGACACAUUGUCUUAGUAGCUGGGGAGGGUUUCAACAAGAGCCUCUGUUGCUCACUCCUGGCCCUCCCCUGGCUCUAGGCAGUGUCCUCAGCCUCCCCAAAGACCACCCCAACCCCCGGGGGCCAAAAAGGGACCUCAAGGCCCUUGUAUCACCCAGACAAGCAUCACCAUCACCAACAUCCCAUCAUCAUCUUAAUCGCAAGUCACUUUUCUGAGUCCACCUCUGAGCCUUUGGACUGGCUGUUCCUUCUGGCUGGAAUGUUUGUUCCUUAGAAAGCCCCUUAGCUGACAUCUUCCUCAGGUCCCUCAUUAGACAGCAUCUCCUCUUGGAGCCUUUUCCACCAUGCAUUCCUGUCUUCCUUACCCUGCUUUACUGUUCUUCAUCCUACCUGCCAUCAGCUGACAUAUGGAAUCACAUUAGAGUCACUGCCGGUCUCCUCAUCUAGAGCACAAGCCCAUGAAGGGGGAAACAGCGUCUGCUUUGCUACUGCUGUGUGUCCAGCCCCUAGAACACAACUGGACACACAGGCUGAGCCCACAAAUGUUUGCUUCUUGCAGCUACAUUUCCCACCUGCGCUGUAUUCCUUUAUCUAGGACCCUGUGAGGCAGGGGCUGCUGUCCCAUUCUAAAAGAGAGCACCCUGAGGCCCAGAGAGGUUGAUGGCAGUUGCUUACCUGGGUGGCACAGGUCCAUUCCGACGCCUGUGGGGAAAAGAUGACCCGUGCUCCUGUCGCUUGCCGACCCAGCUGCUGCUCGGGCUGGCCCGGCAAGGAUGCGUCACCUUGACUGUAACAGGCUCCUUCCUGCUUGCCCCGCCCAGCCCUGUGUGGGGAGGAAGUCAGUCCUGGCCCACUGGGGUCUCGUGUGCAGGCUUUUGACAAAACAGCACUUCCUAAAAACUGACAGAGUGUUGAGCAGCAGGGACCUUUGCCAGGGAGGGACAGAGGUGGAAACAAACAAACAAACAAACAAACGGAUGAAGUGAGGGGAGGGCCAGAUAAAAAAGAGAAAGACAGUGAGACAGAAAGAAACACACAGACACAUAUGCACAUACACACGUACACAUGCACAGACACCGAGGGCGAUGUUCACUGAGGACGAACAUUUUCCAGGGGACCAUGGGCAUUCACCUGGCAGCCUCCUCACAUAUAUGCCAUAGGAGCACCCAACUUGGACAGUCCUAGCAGGGCCCCCUGUGUUCCACCCCACAAGCUCUCUUCCAACUCCCACUUGAGAAGAGACAAAUGAAUUCAGUGCUAGGAAGGGCUUUGCUUCCCUUCAAAGAAAUAUCUGGCUUUUUCUUGUCUAGUGAACAAUCGGGUAAUAUGUUCCACUUUCCUUCUCCCCCAGGCUGCUGGGAAACUCAUCGUCAAAUCCAAAGCUCAUUGACAGCUAUUCUAUGAUGUCAUGUGAACUUUGGGGCCUGACUCAGCUGUUUGACUCUCAGCUAGGGCUAGUCAGCCUCGCUUUGGUUAUCUCUGAAAGGGGAAUAACACUAACUCGGGGAUAUGGAAACCAUGGAGUGAGAGGAUGUGUCGGAGAUGCUUGGGACAUAGUAGGUGCUCAAUAAACACUUUCUCCUUUGAUUUUAAUUAUCUUCUUUGGUUAAAAUGUAUCAUGUUAUUCCUUGUGCCUUUUCUGGCAGGUUGGUUCAAAUUCUUUCUGCAAAAAGCUUUGCUGUAAAGAAACAGGUAUAAAUUAAAUGUGAAUUCCCUAUAACUUCAGGACACAUGCAGAGUUAUUCAUCUGUUUCCCCAUUACUCUCCAGGCCCCAUGAGGGCAAGGUUACCUUUUGUGUUCUGGCGUGUGGUAAAAUGCUGGGGACAUAGAGGGUGUGCAAGUGUGGAAUGAAUGAACAAAUGAAUGAAUGAAUGAAUGAAGGGAACAUGGAGGAGAUCACGGCGGAUAUGAAAGCUAGCUACAAGUUCACCUCCUUUUCACUAUGCCGCUGCUUCUGCUGUCAAGGGGUGAAGUCCAUUUCUCCUUCCUUGGAAGCUGAGCUGGCCUUGGGCAUCUCUUUGACCAAUAGCACGUGGCAGAAAUGAUGUGCCAUGAUGUUCGAGGCUGAGCUUUAAAAGGCCUUGCAGCUCCUGCUCUUGCUCUCAGCCCCCUGCCCGGCUACCAUGAGAACAAGCCUGGGCUAGCCUGUUGGAAGACGGAGGACCACAAGGAGAUAGGCUGGGCUGUCUUGGCUGUCCCCUGGUUGCUGCCUCAUCAGUGAGGCCAGGGGACACCAGAAGAAGAACCAUCAAGCGGAGU